rnacentral:rRNA from 1 species
UACGUAGGGUGCAAGCGUUAAUCGGAAUUACUGGGCGUAAAGCGUGCGCAGGCGGCCUCGCGCGCCCGACGUGAAAGCCCCCGGCUUAACCGGGGAGGGUCGUUGGGGACGGCGGGGCUUGAGGGCGGGAGAGGUCGGUGGAAUUCCCGGUGUAGUGGUGAAAUGCGUAGAGAUCGGGAGGAACACCUGUGGCGAAGGCGGCCGACUGGGCCGACCCUGACGCUGAGGCGCGAAGGCGUGGGGAGCGAACGGG